rnacentral:rRNA from 1 species
GACGUAGGGUGCGAGCGUUGUCCGGAUUUAUUGGGCGUAAAGAGCGUGUAGGCGGCCAGAUAGGUCUGCUGUGAAAACUCGAGGCUCAACCUCGAGAUGUCGGCAGAAACCAUUUGGCUAGAGUCCGGAAGAGGAGAGUGGAAUUCCUGGUGUAGCGGUGAAAUGCGCAGAUAUCAGGAAGAACACCCGUGGCGAAGGCGGCUCUCUGGGACGGUACUGACGCUGAGACGCGAAAGCGUGGGGAGCGAACAGG